CAGAGGGUGACAAGGAAGGAAGGGGCACAUCACACACAGGCUGUUUUUCUACCCUUACUGACGCCCUCGACACCGUAUCCAGUGAAGGCUAUCAGGGAGACAAAUGAAACAGACUGAACAGCAAUAGAAUAGCAGGCAAUGAAGCAGAAGAUGAGAGGGCACUGCGCGCUAAAGCUUAUUAAGAGACAUUCACAGAAAUAAAGUGCUAAGAAGGGCUGGCCGUGAGAAGUGGCAACAACACUAAGCUGCCCAGCAAAAUACUUAAUGGAAAAGCAUUUCCAUUACUAAUCACAAGACACCUGGAAAAUGAGAGUAAAAUAAUUCACAGCUGCUUAAACCCUUUUCAAUUAGCUAGUUAUCCAGUCAUGGCGAAGGAGGAACAAGCAAGAACAGGAGCCUUGCAAAAGAAAACAAAAUUAAAGUGCGACAGGAAGACAAAUGAGCAUAAAUAUAACAGGGCAAUAAUAACAAUAUUUGAAUGAAAUGUGCCUUAGCCUCUUGAGUGUUGUGAAAAGAAAGAA